UGGUGUAAGGCGAACAUUGCUGCCCGGAAAGCAGAAGAUGCGGGUUCGAGUCCCGC
rnacentral:tRNA from 1 species